GCUGGGCAUGGUGGCUCAUGCCUGUAAUCCCAGCACUUUGGGAGGCUGAGGUGGGUGGAUCACUUGGGGUCAGGAGUUCAAGACCAGCCUGGCCAACAUGGUGAAACCCCAUCUCUA
rfam:Gorilla gorilla gorilla genomic chromosome, chr7, whole genome shotgun sequence